AUAACCGCAAGGCUUAAGAGGAGGGGUGAGAAAAAGUCGUAUAAAAGGCGAGAGAAAAGUCGACAGGGAUCAGUCGAGCGAGUAUCUCCGACACGGUAACAGCUGCAUUCCACUAUCUGCCAUCAGCUGCAUUCUUCAUCGUACUAUCAGUUCUCAAUCAUGGUAAACUAUGCUGCCGUGCUGUUGUUGGGUGUUGUGUCGUUGAUGGCUGGUUCAGCCACUGGCGUACCGAUGUAUCCUGGGUAUGGCGGAUACCAAAGCACUACACUGCCGCCUUAGGACACAACUUACGACACAACCAGUUGCUACACCGAUGCCCCCCAGGUACUUCACCACCAUGCUGCCCCGAGCUACUACACCGAAUCCCCGCAGUAUUAUUCUUCUCCGAGCUACACUACUAAAGGGUAGAGUACUACACCGAGGCUCCCCAACACUACACCACCAAGGCACCGGAGUACUACACCACUACAUAUCAUGGUAAUGAAGGAGAGAAAAGGUGAAAUAUUUCAGCAGCCGAUUGAGCAUCUCCGUUACGGCAACAGGAACUGCCGUGCACUAUUUGUCAUCAACUUCAUUCUUCGUCGCAUUAAAAGUUUUAAAUAAAGUAAACUAUGGCGUCGUGCUGCUGUUGGGUGUUGUAUUGUUGAUGGGUGGUUCAGCCAUGGUGUACCGAUGUCUCCUGGGUAUGGCGAGUACUAAAGCACAACACUGCCGUGCCGUCUAACUAAUUAGCAUCAACUUCCGCUGCUCCAGCUUACUACACUGAGGUUUACAAGUGCUACACCACCAUGGAUCCAGAGUAUUACACCACAGCUCAUGUUGCCCCGACCUACUACGCUGAAUGCCCGAAGUAUUUUUCUUCCCCGAGCUACACUACCAAAGGGUCGAGAACUACGUCGAGGCUCCCAAGUACUACAUCACCCAGGCACCGGAGUACAAAAACGGUUGAAUACUACACAGAAGCUAUCAUGGGAAACUAUGGUGUCGUGUUGCUGUGAGUGUUGUAAUCAUGAUGGCUGGAUCGACCACUGGUGUGCCGAUAUCUCCUGGGUAUGGUGGGCAUCAACAACAUACGCAACAACCGCUUACUACACUGGGACCUGCAAGUGCCAAACCACCAAGGCUUCAGAGUAUUACACCACAGUUUAUGUUGGCACGAGCUACUACGCAGAAGCUCCGGAAUAAUUUUCUUCCCCGCUUCACUACCUUCACCACGCCGCGUCCUUACUAAACAACAACAACAACGUCGUCAACACCUACUUACUAAACGAACGCCUCCAAGUACUACGCCAUAAAGGCUUCGACUACCACACCGAGGAUCAACCUGUUACACCGCCGAAGCGCCCAAGUACUGCACUACAACCUACAUUGCCCCAGCUUACACCACGAAGGCAGCGGAGUCCUACUACACCACGAAGGCAGCGGAGUCCUACUACACCACGAAGGCAGCGGAGUCCUACUACACCACGAAGGCAGCGGAGUCCUACUACACCACGAAGGCAGCGGAGUCCUACUACACCACGAAGGCAGCGGAGUCCUACUACACCACGAAGGCAGCGGAGUCCUACUACACCACGAAGGCAGCGGAGUCCUACUACACCACGAAGGCAGCGGAGUCCUACUACACCACGAAGGCAGCGGAGUCCUACUACACCACGAAGGCAGCGGAGUCCUACUACACCACGAAGGCAGCGGAGUCCUACUACACCACGAAGGCAGCGGAGUCCUACUACACCACGAAGGCAGCGGAGUCCUACUACACCACGAAGGCAGCGGAGUCCUACUACACCACGAAGGCAGCGGAGUCCUACUACACCACGAAGGCAGCGGAGUCCUACUACACCACGAAGGCAGCGGAGUCCUACUACACCACGAAGGCAGCGGAGUCCUACUACACCACGAAGGCAGCGGAGUCCUACUACACCACGAAGGCAGCGGAGUCCUACUACACCACGAAGGCAGCGGAGUCCUACUACACCACGAAGGCAGCGGAGUCCUACUACACCACGAAGGCAGCGGCAAGUUAAACCGAGGCUCCAGUUUACUACAAUACAACCUUCGCUGCUCCAUCGUACUACACCGAUGUUCCCAAGUACUACACCAUCAAGGCAUCCGAGUAUUACGCAUUACUUACGCACAAUCAUUACUACACCGAAGCUUCGAACGCAUCACUCUGCCCCGAGUUACUACACCACUAAGGCAGUCAAAUAUUACACCACAAACUACUAUCCCGCAAUUUUCUAAAAGGAAAUUUCUAAAUACUAGGGCCGGAAAUUCUUGAGGUUAUUUAUAUAUGUCGGUUAUUUUCGUGGUCAUUGGUUAUUGGGAAUUAAUUAUUGAUCUUACAUGAAAAAAUAAAAGUUUUAAUAUGGGUAA